rnacentral:tRNA from 1 species
CAGAAAAUAGUUUAUAAAAAUUUUAAUUUUGGAGAUUAAAGAUAGAAGACUAAUUUCUUUUUCUGA